AUACAUUCUGCAUUCAUUCAACAAAUAUUUCUACCAGUUUGGGUCUAGGUGCUGGGGAUACAGAAGUGAACACAACAGACAGGCAGGAUCUGUAUUGUCAUAGUGCUGACCUUUUAGGGUAAACCAACAAGACAGAAAUUGAUGAUUUGAAAUCCAUAAAACAAGGUGCUGUGAUAGAGAAUCACGGUAGCACUGCUUUUGUUUUUAAAAUAUAUUUUAUUAACUAAGUAACACAUCCAUUUGGUUCAGAAAUCAGAAAGAUAUUAAAAGGUCUAGUUUGCAAAGUCUCCCUUGCACCACCCCUGUUACCAUCCACGUCAUUAUCUGCUGGCCUGGCAGACCCCUUCCCUGCCAGGGGUAACUCUUUAUUUGUUGGAUCAUGGAGCAAUCAGGUAUCCCAGGAGGAGAGCAGAGAUGGAGGGAAUUCAGGGGCUUGGAGAGUGGCCAUUUACUAACUAGGACAGAAGUAUUCUGUAGUUUACACAGCACAGCCAUACUGGUGUAUAUUUGCUGAAUAUUCAUGUUACCUAUAAGUAACCACUUAUAUUAUAGUCUUAUAUAUUCUUCCAGCAUUUUUCAUGCAAAUACAAACACCAAAGAUAGCAUACUAUGUACUGUCUUCGGCACCUUGCUUUUUUAACUUAGCAAAAUAUCCUGGAAAUAUUUAUAAAUAUAUCAUUUCAUAAAGAGUAUCUUCAUUUUUUCCAGUGGCAUAAUUGCAUAGAGUGGUUUUGGUGGGGACAGCUCAUCUUUGUUCCAUAUGGUAUUGACUGAGGCAGCUCCUCUGGGACUGAAGGAUCCAAAAGAGCUUCAUUCUGUUAACUGGUGGCUCAGGCUGGAUCUCAUAUCAUCUGGGUUCCAAGAGAGUGAAAAUGGAAGCCACAAGGCCUCUUAAGGUCCAGGUGCCAGAGCCAUACAGCUUUUCUUCCACUGCAUUGAAUUGGUCACUGCAAGUCACAGGGUCAAAACCAGAUUCCAGUGGAGGGGAAAUGGAUUCCACUCCUCAGUGGGAAGAGCAGCAUGUGCACAUGGGGAUAGGAGGGAUUGUUGGAGAAGGUCUUCACAGACAUUCUACCACACCAAGGUCCAAUCAAGGUUCACGUCUUAAUUAGUAUUAUCCAUCUUUAGUUUCUUAAAUUAGUAUUUAUAUUUCUCCCACUUCCCCCCGCCCCUUUUUUGGCUUUAGUUUUUGAAAGGUUGGAGUCAAUUGUUCCAUAUUCUGGAUUUACCUUAUUAUUUCCUCAUGACGUCUUCUAACUUCUGAAUUUCCUGUAAACUGCAAGAUGGACAAAGGCCUAAUUGAAAUUAAACAUAACUUACAAAAAUAUUUUGUAUUCAUAGAUUACGUUUUACAAUGAGUAUCUUUUGCCUGAACAGGAUCAUUUAAAAAUCUAAGACAGGACUUCCCUGGUGGCGCAGUGGUUAAGAAUCCGCCUGCCAAUGCAGGGGACACAGGUUUGAGCCCUGGUCCAGGAAGAUCCCCCAUGCCGCGAAGCAACUAAGCCCAUGCACCACAACUACUGAGGCCGUGUGCCUAGAGCCCGUGCUCCGCAACAAGAGAAGCCACCGCAAUGAGAAGCCUGUGCACCACAACAAAGAGUAGCCCCUGCUCAUCGCAACUAAAGAAAGCCUGCGCGCAGCAAUGAAGACACAACACAGCCCAAACCCAGAUCUUCAGUCUCAAGUUGUACCAGUUUGUUCAAAGAAAGGAGAAAGACGCAGAGAACCCUGAAGGGAGGAGCCGGCAAACAGGGGGACAAUGGGCAGUCGGACAAGUUGAGAGAGCAAUACGGGCUGGAGAACACAGACGGAGACGCCGCCAAGCCUCGCCCCGCCCUUCGGGAGCAGUCUAGCGACAACUGGACCGUCUCGCAUCGUCCCUCCUCCCACACAUCUCUCACCUGGAGCCCAAUCUCCACCUCCUCUCCCAGGUCAGCACCCCCGGGUGACUAUCUGUGGAUACUUCAGUGUGUACCCCAAGCAGGGGAGUGUCAGAAAAUAACCACUGCAACACCGACAUCGCAUGCAAAAAACCCCGACAAACUCCUAAAAUCAGCAACACCUAAAAGCCUGUUGGAGACCCACUGGCUCGGAAUGUCGUUUCCUGUCGGCUGGACUGCAGCCCCAUCCAGGCAAGGCCUCCUCUCCCGGGUCAGGGACUCCAAAGGCCGGGCGGGCCUCUCCUCCAGGCGGCACCGGACGCGCCUAAGGCCCCUGCACGCCAGAAGGGCUCUCACACCGACACCCGCCCAGCCUGGGUCUCGGGAAGUGCCCGUCGGCCCCUGGGCUCCGACUUUCCCGCCUUGCGCGGACCCCGAGUCCGGACGCCCCGGGGGACCCAAUCUUCCAGAUCUGGGGCCCGCCCUCCAGCCGUCCAGAUCUGGGACACAAGCCCCGGCGCAGGCCAGCAGAACUCUAAGCAGGAUCUGCAAAGAAGGCGUCGGUCCACGCUUACUCUCCACUCCGCCGUGCCGCGUUUACUGGGAGCGGGACGUAGGCGCGCGCAUGCGCACUGGGUAUAAACCGCUCGUUGGCCGGUGACCAAACAGACUGCGCAGCCAGAGAGCGGGAGGGAAGCCCCGAGCGUCCUGCGCGUGCGCACCCUCCCCUCGGCUGUGCAUCCUGGCCUGGAAGACGCACGCGAGGCGGGGCAGAGCGGACGCAGGGAGGGAGGCACC